AAUGAAAGCUUGGACAGAGUACGGAAUGUCCCUCAGCAUGGAAACAAGCAGACCAGUGGCCCAAGAAGAAUUCAUCCUUCUCCUUUCUUUGCUGUCAGCAGCUUCAUUUUGACACCUCCAGGACACUUGCAUAUGGAAUUGG